CGGUGAAAUGCGUAGAGAUUAGGAAGAACACCAGUGGCGAAGGCGACUCUCUGGACCGUAACUGACGCUGAGGCAUGAAAGCGUGGGUAGCAAACAGGAUUAGAUACCCUGGUAGUCCACGCCGUAAACGAUGAGUACUAGGUGUAGGAGGUAUCGACCCCUUCUGUGCCGCAGUAAACACAUUAAGUACUCCGCCUGGGAAGUACGAUCGCAAGAUUAAAACUCAAAGGAAUUGACGGGGGCCCGCACAAGCAGCGGAGCAUGUGGUUUAAUUCG
rnacentral:rRNA from 2 species